AUUGAACGCUGGCGGCAGGCCUAACACAUGCAAGUCGAACGAGUGGCGGACGGGUGAGUAAUGUCUGGGACACUGCCUGAUGGAGGGGGAUAACUACUGGAAACGGUAGCUAAUACCGCAUACCAUCGGAUGUGCCCCGAUGGGAUUAGCUAGUGGGUGGGGUAACGGCUCACCCAGGCGACGAUCCCUAGCUGGUCUGAGAGGAUGCCAAGCCACACGGGAACUGAGACACGGUCCAGACUCCGACGGGAGGCAGCAGUGGGGAAUAUUGCACAAGGGGCGCAAGCCUGAGACAGCCAUGCCGCGUGUAUGAAGAAGGCCUUCGGGUUGUAAAGUACUUUAAGCGGGGAGGCGUUACCCGCAGAAGAAGCACCGGCUAACUCCGUGCCAGCAGCCGCGGUAAUUC
rnacentral:rRNA from 1 species